AACAUCCAGAUCUCAGCUGUGUUGACUCAGCUACAAUCAGCUUUCAGGAACUGAUUGAGUUUAAAUGAGUGAAUGAAGGCAGAAGCGCCCAGAAAGAAGGUCAGGAUGACAGCACAUAAGUGUAGAAAAGUCACAUGAGUUGCCUAAGGUCAGAGGCUUAGAAAGAAGUAGGGCCAGGACUGAGUUCCAGAAUUCCUGGACUGCAAGUCAUCAUACUGCACUGGAAAGAUAUUCGACCUUCAAUGUCCAGUCUUCCCAACCUCCAGCAAGCAGGAAAUGAACAGGAUCUCAUCAAAGUGUUUGAAAUGAACAAACGUCACCACAGCCAAGAUGUCCACUUUCUGGGAAGGAACAAAACCUGCAUAUUCCUAAGGCUUGAUUAGUUUCAUUGUUGUAUUUCAACUGAGAAACGCAUCCCAUGCAUACAUAUCUGGCUUGUAUGGUUCUUAUUUUUUUCUCCAUAUUUAUCUUUGCUCCUCUGUUCCAGGGUUAUGGGUUAAAACUAUCUGUUCACAUUGGUAUGAGUUGAGGGUCCAGGACUCCCAAAACCUCAGUUGUCAUUUCUAUAUUUCAAAUAACCUUGCAUCAUGUCCAGAAAUUUUAGACAACUUCCUAUGUGGUUCUUUCUCCUUCCUUUCAAUUAAGCUCUAAUAGGAAAAUCUUUAAUUUUUUUCAGGUGUCAAAAAUUAAGAACAUCGUCUACGUUUCAGGGGAUUUAGAGUUCAGGAUGAAAUGUAGGGAAAAUAUCCUGUGGUGGUUUUGUUUCCUACUGAUUUUCACUUAUGUCCUUUAUUUAAAGUGUGUGAACAUCUGCUUUCUUUUCUUACUUGCUGUAUGUGGCAUGUAUAUGCGAGGAAAAAUCCCAACUCAAAUUUUAAGGAGAUCUUCCUCAGCUCUAGCCUUUCCUAAACCACUUCAGCACUCAGAAUAGUUAUUUCCCUUUGUAUAUUCUGAACACCCC
rnacentral:lncRNA from 1 species